rnacentral:rRNA from 1 species
CUUCGGUUAUAAGAUCCCUCAAAGAUGAUGAGGUUAAUAGGUUCGAGGUGGAAGCAUAGUGAUAUGUGGAGCUGACGAAUACUAAUCGAUCGAAGACUUAAUCAAUUU